AAUGAACGUUGGCGGCGUGGAUUAGGCAUGCAAGUCGAGCGAGAAGGGUUUGGUGCUUGCAUUGAACCUGGAAAGCGGCGAAAGGGAGAGUAACGCGUAGAUAUGUACCCUGGGGUCUGGGAUAGCGUCGGGAAACUGGCGGUAAUACCGGAUAACGUCUCCGGACCAAAGAUUUAUUGCCCUGGGAGCAGUCUGCGUCCUACUAGCUUGUUGGUGGGGUAAAAGCCUACCAAGGCCAUGAUGGGUAGCGGGCGUGAGAGCGUGACCCGUCUCACUGGGACUGAGACACUGCCCAGACACCUACGGGUGGCUGCAGUCGAGAAUCUUCCGCAAUGGACGAAAGUCUGACGGAGCGACGCCGCGUGCGGGAUGAAGGCCCUCGGGUUGUAAACCGCUGUCAGAGGGGAGGAAAUUUUGACCGAUCCUCAGAGGAAGUCCGGGCUAAGUUCG
rnacentral:rRNA from 1 species